AGUCGCGUGAUUUUUACGCGAAUACAAUCCGCGUAAUUUUUCAGUGUCGUUAUAACAUAUUGAAUAAAUAUGUCGACUUCAUCGCGAAUAUGGCCAAUAUGGAAUAUAAUACGCGCGGAGAGUGAAGCAUGUUCCCGAAGCUCGUGAAGCCGGCAUUUGCAUGAUAAUGACUCGCGGAAAUGGUAUUAGCAUUUACCGGAAGCAAGAGUUUACGGAAGAUAAUGCGAAAAUUUAAACCGAAAUUUUGCGCAAUUUUUCUUCCGCGAUAAAUCCAUUUCGUCGAAUGUAUAAAGAUUAAUUUUAAAGGGAUUAAAAAUAUACAGAAAAA